rnacentral:sRNA from 1 species
AUGUACCACUCGUACACUCCGGUUCCUGUGCGCCGCCCGCACCCACCUGACGACUGCUCCACCUCAGUUGGCUUCGUCAGCG